rnacentral:rRNA from 1 species
UACGGAGGAUGCGAGCGUUAUCCGGAUUUAUUGGGUUUAAAGGGUGCGCAGGCGGCGUGUCAAGUCAGCGGUAAAACGUCGGGGCUCAACCCCGGCCGGCCGUUGAAACUGGCGUGCUCGAGUUGGAGAGAAGUAUGCGGAAUUCGUGGUGUAGCGGUGAAAUGCAUAGAUAUCACGAAGAACCCCGAUUGCGAAGGCAGCAUACCGGCUCCACACUGACGCUGAGGCACGAAAGCGUGGGUAUCGAACCGG